rnacentral:rRNA from 1 species
ACCCGCUGAACUUAAGCAUAUCAAUAAGGGGAGGAAAAAGAAACCAACAGGGAUUGCCCUAGUAACGGCGAGUGAAGCGGCAACAGCUCAAAUUUGAAAUCUGGUUCUUUCAGAAUCCGAGUUGUAAUUUGUAGAGGCAUAUUCGGACAGCGGUUUAGUCUAUGUCCUUUGGGACAGGGCGUCAUAGAGGGUGAGAAUCCCGUAUGACUUUCCUCGCAGUCUAUGUGAAUGGCCUUCUAAGAGUCGAGUUGUUUGGGAAUGCAGCUCUAAUUGGGUGGUAAAUUCCAUCUAAAGCUAAAUACUGGCAAGAGACCGAUAGCGCACAAGUAGAGUGAUCGAAAGGUGAAAAGCACUCCGGAAGGAGAGUUAAACAGCACGUGAAAUUGUUGAAAGGGAAGCACUUGAGAGCAGUACUGGGACUUAGUUCAUCAACCUUCAUUUUUGUAGGUGCACUGGGCUUUGUUCUGGCCAGCAUCAUUUUUGACGGUGAUAUAAUGUCUUAGGGAAUGUGGCUCUCUUCGGGGAGUGUUAUAGCCCUAGGUCCAUACCACCAGUCGGGAAUGAGGUCCGCGCUUCGGCUAGGAUGCUCGCAUAAUGAUCUU